UACGUAGGGGGCUAGCGUUGUCCGGAAUCAUUGGGCGUAAAGCGCGUGUAGGCGGCCCGGUAAGUCCGCUGUGAAAGUCGGGGGCUCAACCCUCGGAAGCCGGUGGAUACUGUCGGGCUCGAGUACGGAAGAGGCGAGUGGAAUUCCUGGUGUAGCGGUGAAAUGCGCAGAUAUCAGGAGGAACACCAAUGGCGAAGGCAGCUCGCUGGGACGGUACUGACGCUGAGGCGCGAAAGCGUGGGGAGCAAACAGG
rnacentral:rRNA from 1 species